GGUACGAAUCACAGUCACAGAACAACAAAUUGAAAUCUAAAGAUCAAAGUUUAAAGGCUAGCAGAAGAAGAUCGAUCUCAUGUAUUUAAAGGUUCACUGUAAAGGUUAACUUCAGAUCUCGUGUUUGAAUUUCGGAUUUCAUCUUCUUACAGUUACAAUCAAAAUCUACCGAGAAUACUCAUACCAGCAGAUGAAAUAC